UACGUAGGGGGCAAGCGUUGUCCGGAAUCAUUGGGCGUAAAGAGCGCGUAGGCGGUCCGGUAAGUCCGCUGUGAAAGUCGGGGGCUCAACCCUCGAAUGCCGGUGGAUACUGUCGGGCUAGAGUGCGGAAGAGGCGAGUGGAAUUCCUGGUGUAGCGGUGAAAUGCGCAGAUAUCAGGAGGAACACCAAUUGCGAAGGCAGCUCGCUGGGACGUUACUGACGCUGAGACGCGAAAGCGUGGGGAGCAAACAGG
rnacentral:rRNA from 1 species